AAACCCCUUCUCAGCAGGAGCACGGUCCACCUUGCUACAGGAAGACAUUGGCAAAUGAAUUGUUGGGUUUAUAUGGAAAUUGGAGACCACCUUUGUCAAGAAUUUUGGCUGUGGAUAUAGCAGCAUUCUUGAUCACAGUGGAACUUCUGAGGCUGAAGAUGACUGUCCUGUGCACAGUAAACAGUCUCCCAAGCUGAAGAUCCAUCCUCUAGUGACAGGCUCUUCCUCAAGCAGCGCCCCGGGGACCCCAGGCAGGGGUCAGCAGCACCCCGUUGUGCUGCGCCCCGUGUAAACACCCGGGCUAAGAACCAGGUGACACCCUGAGCAGGAGCACAGCAGUGCCCAGCCCGGCACCAGCUGGCGGCGAUUCCUCCCGGCCUGUCCCCAGGCCUGGCCCCGCCCCCGUUCUCAGAAUUCUACGAAGAGCAGCUCCGGCCCCG